rnacentral:rRNA from 1 species
UACGGAGGGUGCAAGCGUUGCUCGGAAUUAUUGGGCGUAAAGGGUAGGUAGGUGGUCUCGUUUGUCUGGGGUGAAAGCCUUGAGCUUAACUCAAGAAGUGCCUCAGAAACGGCGAGACUAGAGUUCUGGAGAGGGUCGCGGAAUUCCCGGUGUAGCGGUGAAAUGCGUAGAGAUCGGGAGGAACACCAGAGGCGAAAGCGGCGACCUGGACAGCAACUGACACUCAACUACGAAAGCGUGGGGAGCAAACAGG